GACGAACGCUGGCGGCGUGCUUAACACAUGCAAGUCGAACGGAAAGGCCCUGCUUUUGUGGGGUGCUCGAGUGGCGAACGGGUGAGUAACACGUGAGUAACCUGCCCUUUACUUUGGGAUAACUUCAGGAAACUGGGGCUAAUACCGGAUAUGAGCUCCUUCUGCAUGGUGGGGGUUGGAAAGUUUCGGCGGUUGGGGAUGGACUCGCGGCUUAUCAGCUUGUUGGUGGGGUAGUGGCUUACCAAGGCUUUGACGGGUAGCCGGCCUGAGAGGGUGACCGGCCACAUUGGGACUGAGAUGCGGCCCAGACUCAUACGGGAGGCAGAAGUGGGGAAUAUUGCAAAAUGGGCGGAAGCAUGAUGCAGCAACGCCGCGUGCGAGAUGACGGCCUUCGGGUUGUAAACCGCUUUCGCCUGUGAAGAAGAGUGAGUGACGGUAAUGGGUAAAGAAGCACCGGCUAACUACGUG
rnacentral:rRNA from 1 species